GCUCCGGUGGCCUAGUGGUUAGAGUAUCCGCCUCGAAUAGGGGAAGUCAUGGGUUCAAUCCCCGGUUGAAUCA